rnacentral:sRNA from 1 species
GCUGGGCAUGGUGGUGCAUGCCUGUAAUCCCAGUGGCUCAGGAGGUUGAAGCAGGAGGAUCGUGAUUUCAAAGCCAGCCUCAGCUACAGCGAGGUGCUAUGCAACUCAGUGAGACCCUGUCUCUA